CGCCGCGUGAGCGAUGAAGGCCUUCGGGUCGUAAAGCUCUGUUGUAAGGGAAGAACAAGCAUCGGUUAACUGCCGGUGCCCUGACGGUACCUUACCAGAAAGCCACGGCUAACUACGUGCCAGCAGCCGCGGUAAUACGUAGGUGGCAAGCGUUGUCCGGAAUUAUUGGGCGUAAAGCGCGCGCAGGCGGUCCUUUAAGUCUGAUGUGAAAGCCCACGGCUCAACCGUGGAGGGUCAUUGGAAACUGGGGGACUUGAGUGCAGAAGAGGAAAGCGGAAUUCCACGUGUAGCGGUGAAAUGCGUAGAGAUGUGGAGGAACACCAGUGGCGAAGGCGGCUUUCUGGUCUGUAACUGACGCUGAGGCGCGAAAGCGUGGGGAGCAAACAGGAUUAGAUACCCUGGUAGUCCACGCCGUAAACGAUGAGUGCUAAGUGUUAGGGGGUUUCCGCCCCUUAGUGCUGCAGCUAACGCAUUAAGCACUCCGCCUGGGGAGUAC
rnacentral:rRNA from 1 species